rnacentral:rRNA from 1 species
UACGAGAGGCCCAAACGUUAUUCGGAAUUACUGGGCUUAAAGAGUUCGUAGGCGGCGCAGAAAGUAGGGUGUGAAAGCCCUCGGCUCAACCGAGGAAUUGCGCUCUAAACUACUGUGCUUGAGGAAGCUAGAGGUGAGCAGAACAGAUGGUGGAGCGGUGAAAUGCGUUGAUAUCAUCUGGAAUACCGGAGGCGAAAGCAGGCUACUGGACCGUCACUGACUCUGAUCUGCGAAAGCUAGGGGAGCAAACAGG